AACGAACGCUGGCGGCAUGCCUAACACAUGCAAGUCGAACGAGACCUUCGGGUCUAGUGGCGCACGGGUGCGUAACGCGUGGGAACCUGCCCUUAGGUUCGGAAUAACUCCCCGAAAGGGGUGCUAAUACCGGAUAAUGUCUUCGGACCAAAGAUUUAUCGCCUUUGGAUGGGCCCGCGUUGGAUUAGCUAGUUGGUAGGGUAAAAGCCUACCAAGGCGACGAUCCAUAGCUGGUCUGAGAGGAUGAUCAGCCACACUGGGACUGGGACACGGCCCAGACUCCUACGGAAGGCAGCAGUGGGGAAUAUUGGACAAUGGGCGAAAGCCUGAUCCAGCAAUGCCGCGUGAGUGAUGAAGUCCUUAGGGUUGUAAAGCUCUUUUACCCGGGAUGAUAUUGACAGUACCGGGAGAAUAAGCUCCGGCUAACUCCGUG
rnacentral:rRNA from 1 species